rnacentral:rRNA from 1 species
CCUACGGGUGGCAGCAGUGGGGAAUAUUGCACAAUGGGGGAAACCCUGAUGCAGCGACGCCGCGUGAGUGAGGAAGUAUUUCGGUAUGUAAAGCUCUAUCAGCAGGGAAGAAAAUGACGGUACCUGACUAAGAAGCCACGGCGAACUACGUGCCAGCAGCCGCGGUAAUACGUAGGGGGCAAGCGGUAUCCGGAUUUACUGGGUGUAAAGGGAGCGUAGACGGAAUAGUAAGUCUGAUGUGAAAACUCGGGGCUCCACUCCGGGAGUGCAUUGGAAAAUGUCGACCUAGAGUGUCGGAGAGGCAAGCGGAAUGCGUAGUGUAGCGGUGAAAUGCGUAGAUAUUAGGAGGAACGCCAGUGGCGAAGGCGGCUUGCUGGACGAUGACUGACGUUGAGGCUCGAAAGCGUGGGGAGCAAACAGGAUUAGAUACCCCUGUAGUC